CCCAUCCCCCCUUUCCCUCCCUGACAGCCCCCGCCUCCCAGCCUCUCAGCAGCCCCAGCUCUGCUUGCCCUCCCACCAUACAACCUCCCACCCAGGAGGUUGAGGCUGUAGUGAACCGUGAUUGCACCAGGGUACUUCAUCCUGGGCAACAGAGUGAGACCCUGCCCAAAGAGAAAAUAAGAACUUCACAGGGGGAGGUCCACAUGCAUAGAUUGGGGAGUUCCUGCUCCCUGGUGUCGCACAACACGCCAUUCUACCCUUCCUAGACAGGCCUGGGCUGAUGCGGACCAUGAGGUGUAUCAUCCUGCACUGUGCACUGUGACUAGCAGGGGGCGCUGAAACCGCAUUUUCUGCGCCACAUGGUGCGCAUGCGUGUUCUCACCGCAGAGGCUUCGUGGCGUGCGUGGCGUGGCGUCCAUAAUGGGAAGAUGGAGAACGGCUCCCCUUCCUUCCGGACCCGCCUGAGGGCGCACUGCGGCGGCGUGGGGAUGACUUGGAGACUCGUCUCGGGGAGGAAACCGCUUCUGUCUGUGGCCCUGACUGCUUAGGCGGGAGCUGCGUGCGCUCAGCUUUUCCAGGGCACUUUUUUCUACACGGUCACUCUCACCCAAGCUGGAGCACAGUGGCACAUCACAGGCCCAUGUAGAUUGGAAUAUUGGCUACCUACAGCUUUGCAAUGCAAUUUGAUAUCAGUAAUUAGACGGGGCUUCACCAUGUUGACCAGACUGGUCUCAAACUCCUGACCUCAAGUGGUCAACCUGCUGUGGCUUUCCAAAAUGUUGGGAUUACAGGCGUGAGCCACCAUGCCCAGCCUUUUGAGAAAUCUAUUGACUGUGCAGCCAUGUUGUGGGAAAGAGAAAAUGCCCUGAAUUUGGAUGGCUGAAAAUUAUUCCAUUGUGCCUGUGUCCUGAAGAUUCUUCAUCCCUUCAUCUGUGGAUGCACAGGUGCAACCGUGUGGUUCCCCACGAUAUGAUUUCGUUGUGCUUUCCUGUGUGAAGAGUAUCCCAGUGUGUACAUGUGGAACAGCUUCUUUCUCCCUUCAUCUGUGGAUAAGCAGGUUUCUGUACGGUGCUGCGGAUGACAUGGUUUCAUGAAUUUCUCUGGCCGAAGAGGAUGCCGUUGUGUACCGCAGUUUUUUAUCCCUUUAUCUGUGCAUGAACAGGUAGGGAAAGUCCUUAUAAACCGAGACUCAGUGUCCAGCCUGCACCGUCCCCUGUGGCUAAUCAUGACUGUCAAAGCUUGAAAACAACCAAUGUGUCCUUCAAUAAGCAAGUGGAUCCACAAGCCUUGGUAACCCAUAAAAUGAAGUAUUAUUCUACAGUAAGAAGGAGGUACCGGGGCACAAAAUAAUAUGCAGAAAGGUUACAUGCAUAUUGCUAAAUGACAGAAGCCGAUCUGAAAAGAUGGAAAUUUUAUGGUGGUAGUGGUGGGGAGGGCAGGAUCCUUGGGAACCAGUACCUGCCUGGAGUCCACAUGACUCCCACAUUUACCAGAGGGUGCUGUGGACUAAGCACCUGCUUAGGGCUCCUCAGCUGAGAGCCCCCUUUGUCUUGCGUCAUGAAGGUGUUUCUGUGCCCUCUCCGGGGUGAAAGUCUUUCUUCUUCUAUAGUUUUUCUUUUUCUCAGCUGUAGUUCAGACUGAGGUCAAAGGAGGGGUUUGCACAGCCUCCAGAAAUGCGGAAGAUUUGCAUGGAGUCCUCCCACCCUGAGGAUCAGUGUCAUGGAUCAGAGGUGAUGUUGAGCUCAGUCCUGGCUACGGGCUCAGGCAGCAGAGCCUGGGGCAUCUCCACUGUGGCCUGGGCUCCAUGCAUCCUCACUUUCCUCACUCAUUGCACAGGUGGCUGCCUGCAGAGAAUUCAAGGGAGGCUCCUGGAUGUCCCCUGCGAUGAUGACCUCUCCCUCCUCUCAGCAGACCUGAUCUGUCUUCAGUGUUCUCUGUAUUGUUCCCUUCUUGCAGGGUCUUGGUAGGAGGAUGUGUUCACUCAGUUCCAGUCUGUGUCAGGGUCUCUGGGACAAAAGAACACUAUCUUUGGCACCUGGAGCAGUGGUAGCAUCGAGAGCAAAUAUGUGCAUUGGUGCAUUGGUGCCAUCAGCGCCUGGGCAGUGCCCCCACCACCAUAAUCUACAAUGAUAACAAAAGACCCUUCCAUGUUAUGCAUUGGUUCUCUGGCUCCAGCAGCUCCAUCCAACUCUGCCUCCCUGACCAUCUCUGGGCCGCAGUCUGAGGAUGAGGUCAACUACUCCUGUCAUUCUUAUGAUAGCAGCAGUAAUCACACAGUUCUCCAGACCCAUGGGGAAGUGAUACAGAAACUCCCCAGAGUGACCCCACCUCAGCUCAGCUCUCAGCCUGUCCCCAUCAGCUCUCUCCAAUUUCCUGCCUGAAUGCUGGAGUUGGACUUGUCUACUCAUGACUUCCCCAAUUUUCUCUCCAAAAGUACCAAAUCUCUCCCUCUGUAUCUUUAUGAGUUAUCUUCUCAUACAUUUACUGUCAAGCCUCUCCUCUUCUCCGGGUACAAGUCAAACAACAUGGCCUCCCUCACCACUUCUGGGCUGAAGCCUGGGGACUGUGCUGAUUUUUACUGUUUAUCACAGGACGGGAACCUUGAGGACUGCAUUGUGUGGGGGCUAAUGGGGAAAUGAGAUACAAACCUGUGAGCUCCUCCAACCUAUUCACUGCACUGAGGAAUCAUCCAGUGGACCUCUCAGAAGACAUGGUGUGGGCUCCUUGUGGACACUAUUGAAUGUUUGAAGGGGCUCUUAACUAAAGGACCUUUUUAAAGUUGGGAGUACUAACAAUGCUCCACAAAUUCAAUGAAGACUGUUUAGAAUUACUCAUUCAACUAAUAUUGACAUGCAGCCCAAUUCUAAAGUGUUUUAGGAUCUGUUUAAUGAUAAACAUUACACAGAUUGUUAAUAGUAAAUAUCAUAAAGAACAGAGAGUCUAGAUGUGUUUACUUAACCUCUCAUUUCAUUUCAUAGAGAAACUGCUGAAAAGAAGGACGCCUGGAGUAGCUAAAAGAUGGUUCGCUUAUUCAUCUUUUUUGCUAACGAUCUUUCAAUUCCACGUAGUGAUCAAUUAAGGGGACUGUGCACUAUUACAGUGUGCAUUGACCCCUUGCUGUCAUUUCUAGCACAGGAACAGCAAUGCCACAACACAACUUCCUUCUGUGGUUUUCCAAAGGCCAACUUUCUCAAUGCUGCCGCUAGAGCUCCGUCCCCUCCUGUUUCUGCCACUCACCAUAAUCAGGUGUGUGAGGAGAAUUAAAGUCUGUCAUGGGGACACCUAUGGAGUUUUCUCCCCAGACAGCAUUUGUGAGGGGAAAGCUUUAGGUCACAGAUGCCUGACCUUAGAGGCCUAAUAAGAGAUCUAAUAUGAUAUCUUUAGUAUUAAUGGAGGUGAGCUAUAAGGAGGAAUGAUGAUAGAAUAUGCCAGGUGUUGGUAAUAGCAUUUGCCAAGAAUAGGUACAAAACAGCUGCUCAUUUAACUAAUUAAUAUGACUUGUGUUUGGCUUGGGUAUGGCAGAUCUCAGUGGGGACAGGAUCAGGGGAAGUGAUUCUAGAUGCAUCCAGAUGACAGAAAGGUGUCACGGAAACAGAUCACGAAGAGAAGAGAUCCUGAGAAGUGUGCACAUGAUCACAGAGGCCACAUGGAGUCACUGAAUUAUCCUUAGCUGGUAUUGAUGAGCUCUUCAGGUGCAGAAUGGAGGAUGGAUUGCAAGGUAAACUGAGGCAACACCAGAGACAGGCAGACUACUUAUGUUUCAGAGGAAAUAAUUCAGGAUGAGAUGGUGGUGUCUUUUUAUAGAUUCGUAAGUGAAAAAAAGUAAAAGGAGCAAUUUUAGAUACAAAAUGAAAAAGUAAUUGGUAAAACAAAUGAGUGAGAUUGAGAGGCUAUUGGGGGUCCGAAAAAAAUAAACAUCUAAGAUGAGCACCACAUGUCUGGUUGGGGCUUUGGAAGGAUUCUUAUCCACCAUCUAAAAGAUGGGCCUUGGGGUCAUAGAUUUAUGACAAAAUAUAUGCCACUUAUGUUUGUGAUUUCCUCAGCAUUCCACAUUGGUUGUGUGCUGAUUUUUACUAUUUAGCACAGGAUGGGAACCUUGAGGACUGCAUUGUGUGGAAGCCCACAGGGAAACAAGAUACAAACCUGUGAGCUUCCUCCAACCUAUUCAGUGUACUGAGGAACGGUCCAAUGGACCUGUAGGAAGACAUGGUGUGGGCUCCUUGUGGACAUUAUCGGAUGUUGGGGAGGAAAGGUAAUUUUGGAGAGCUCCUUCAGGGUAAAAGAUGAAAAAA